rnacentral:lncRNA from 1 species
AAUCUCCAGCUCAUCCCCCCCCCCCCCUCCCCGCCCUGGGCUGGUGGAGGGGUGGGGCUGAAAGCCAGAUCAGGUUCGUUCCCCUGGCAACCAGCCCUCAGCCUCAGGGGUUUUCCAAAAGUCACCUCGUUAACACACACUCUUGUGAGUAAAAAGAAAUUCCUUUCACCUUCGUGGCUGGGAAGCAUUUUCAGGAAGCAAUGACAAAAGACCAAAUAUAGCAAAAGAUACGCUGUCCCCUCUCCCCGGAAGUUCCAACCAUUUAGGAGCUGUGUGCCAGAAAUGGGGAUGAAGACCAAAUUUAUAUGUUUCUUAGUUUCUUUAUUUUGAGAGAGAGAGAGAGAGAGAGAGAGUGAGCGAGAGCGGGGGAGGGGCAGAGAGAGAGGGAGACAGAAUCCCAAGCAGGCUCCACACUGUCAGCCCAGAGCCCGAUGCGGGGCUCGAACUCACAAACCUCGAGAUCAUGACCCAAGCCAACGUCAGAUGCUUAACCGACUGAGCCACCCAGGCGCCCCGGUCUGUGACUUUCCAAAAAGAUGAGGACAGCUGUCCAGGACGGGUCACCGCAGCGUGGCUUGGUCGCAAAGCCUGGGAAGGACCCCAGCAGACACUGCUGGCAUCCUCUGCUCACUUCUGAACCCUUCACAGCCGUGCUCUUGUGCGAUGGUCAUUACAAACAGAUUCUUGAUCUAACAGCCCUUUCUUGUAGACGAAUCACGUGGCGUGAGCGCCACGCAGCACAGAAUGCCGGGCACCUUUCUUGCGAUCUCACAUAGCUCUGGAUUUACAGCACAUUUGUACGUGUAAAAUCUCCCCUCCCUGACACACCUAUGUACGUAGAGAAGCACACAGAGAGAAAAAUGCACCCAGCAAGGUACAGCCUGAUGCAUUGUCACAAACUAACCCUCACGUGGGUCAAGAAAACAGUCCUAGUCCCCUGAAAGCUGCCCUGGUGCCCCUUCCCAGGGAAUCCUCCCUUCCACGCAUGAAUUCACCCCUCUUCACCCAUUCUUCUCCUGUCCUUUCCAGUUGGGGGCUAACAUGUUCUCUACUGCUUGACCUCUGUGCUAGUCAACAGAACCUGUUGCACGGAUGUCAGGUUCGUUAGAUGCUCCUUGGCCUUUCUGUUGGGCUAGUGUUCUCAGACUAGGUUCCUGUGUAGCCCUGGGGGCCUUUCUCAAAC